UGAAUGUUGCUCAGUGGUAGAGUGCUUGUCCAGCAUUUAGGAGGUCCUGGGUUCAAUCCCCAGCACUUCAA
rnacentral:tRNA from 1 species